GGGAAGCGCUGGUGAUCCCGGCAGAUGGGCGCCCUCUCCCGUCUCUCAGAGACCGCUCAGUCCAGUCAAGUCUGCAAAUCGGUUAACUUGGGGGCUCUGGCGGUCGAAGUGGCGUUAACUCGCGUUGGUGCGAGAGGUCGCGACGCUUUUCAUUACACGACUGGGCUGAGGGCUCAGAGCCAGAGUGCUGGCUUGUGUCCUUCCUAGCCGUCCCGCCUGCCCCGAGUGUUGUGGAGAGUUUCUGAGUGUCUUUCCUAGCCGUCCCGCCUGCCCCGAGUGUUGUGGAGAGUAUCUGAGAGAGAGCCCCUGAGAAGGGGAGCGGGCGCUUUCGCGGGCUCACACGGAGGGGCUGGGUAGGGAGAGGAGCCGCGCGGGCCGGGGCGGCGGAGAGGCCGGACCGAAGUCGUCAGUGGACACCGCCACGCCUCGGUCGGACCUCGAAGUGGACCUGCGCGCUCACCUGAAAUUCAUUGAAAUCUCUUGCUGGCCAAUGAUCAACUCUUUCCAAGCUGAGUGUUCUUUACUGUUAUACAGGACUAUCAUGAAGAUGCAUUGAAAGUUACACAGCACUGGAGGAGUGUGAUAUCCCUUUCAGUUGGUAAUCUUCCUGUCAUGAAAGUUGCUUGCCAGCUUUACUUUUGAAUGAACACAGUAAACACUAAGCUCUUGCUUCUCAGGAUUGAGAUAUGGAAAGAUCCUUCUGUCCUUUACCACACAGUUCCUUUGUCAAGAAUUCCAGAUGUCCUCCAAGUUUGCAAAGGUAGGAAGCAGAAGAGGUUCCAGGGAAGAAAACUGAGAACUGAUCAAAAGAAGUAUGAAGAGGAUGGAGUGCAGAAGAUGGGGAGAAGCAUGUUCAGUCGAGUGUGAUAAUGCCCAAAACGUCAGGAGUUGAGUCGGAGUAACUGAAGCUGACAAGUCUGUUGAUGACUGGUAAUCUGGGGGAGGAAAGCAGUAUCAAGAUACAAGUCUGAGAAAACUCAGGUCUCAAGAAAUUGUGCCAUCAAAGGGAGAAGAUAACUGUGGCAGCAAGUAAAGUCUUUUAUGAAGAUUGAUGGUGAAGGUAAGAAGGAGUUGGGAUUUGUCACUGGGCUCUUUGGAAAUAGGACUCAAUGGAGGGCUCUUUUCCCCCCAAGACAGAAGAAGCUUGGUGUUUUGAUACGUAGGGAGGAACUGGUGAGGAAAAGAGAAGGAAGACUGAAUAAAGAGAUAAUUCAUGAGUUAAGGUCUCAGAACUUAACUGGAAAAGGAUGAGAUCAACCUUGGAAUGGAAGGCAAGAAGGAAAGAGGAAUGAGUGGGAAAUAGAAGGUGUGAGGCGAAUGGGAAGAACACACAGGAAUUUCCAUCAGCUUUUGCUUAAUGAAAUAGAGGUAUCCAGAUUAUCCGCUAAGAGUACAUGUAUAUAGACCCCUGUAAGAACUGGUCUCCUACCUCCCACACUUCAUUUGCAUGUUCUUUGACUAUUUCCUGACUGAGGGUAAACAGCCAGGCUCCCUGGAAGUGCCUUUCCAAAGAGUUCUGAAGAAGAGAACUCUUUAGUUCUUGUUCAAACUGAGGGGACUUGGGUGCCCUGGAGUUCCACGGAAUUCAUAUGCAGAUGUCAAUAGAUCUCAAACUCAGCUCUGUUUGUGAUCCUGGGUUGUGUAACUAACAUGGAUAAUUCAAAUAUCACAACUUUCCGUUUCUUUUGUAACUCAAUAACGCUGAUUCAUUAUCAAAUAAAUAAAAUUUAUUUACUCCGAAUGUUUCGUCUUUGUUGGUGCUCUUAACUGAUGAGAGAGUCCAUCAGUAUGUUGUUUUGGAUUAACUUAUGAAAAUGAAGAGUUUAUGGAUUAUAUGCUGAUGGGAAAAUUACCUGCUGAGGUAGCUUCAUAUUUGUUCUUUAUUCUACUGAUUUCAUAUAUAUGAAUUUUGCAAAAUGUGAGUUUUUUGAAUGAGCACACACACACACACAUAUUUAUAUAUAUAUAAGGAAGUACAUAAUGUGCAUGUC